rnacentral:misc_RNA from 1 species
CUCGCCUCUCCAGCCUGAGGCGUCGCCUCCCCAAAGCCCAACCAGGCGUUAUGUCAAUCAACAGUAGGAGCGUAGUUGUCCAUUAUUGGCAGAAUUUCAAAUGAUUGAGAUUAUAAAAUUAACAAAUUUUAGUGUUGCUUAUUCAUGAAAAGUUUAGGCAAUGUAGUUGGAAUUGAAUUAAAGAUUUUUAGUUCAUUUAAUUUUUUUUUUCAUUACAUAUUCAUUAUCAUGUGUGGUGGAUUAGAGGGAAUAUUUACAUUAUGAUAUUUAAAAUUUACUAUUAUUUUAAAGUUUAACUAUCAUAUUAUUUAAAUAUGAGAAUGUGUUAAAAUUUUUUUAUUCUUUUAAUUUAUUGUAGGCAAAAAUAUUGUGUGAUAUAAUAAAAAUUAAUAAUGUGUAUAAAAAAGGUAAAGUGGUUAAAAAAAUUAUAUAGUUAAUUAAUUUGACUUUUUUAUUAUAGAAUGAAAAUCAUUUUGAUUGGUGCCAUAUUAAGUUAAACACGUAAAUCAUGAAGUGAAAACUCAGCAAGAUUAAAAGUCAACUGACCGACCAGCUGGACAAAUUCUUAACAGUCGAGUUGGAUCGGUUUGCAUUACCAGAUCACAUUAAUUUGUAUAAUGAUGGGUUGGGUCGGUUUGAAUGCAAUUUACUUUCAAACUGACCGGUGAACAGCCCUGCUUACUCUUCCUCAAAUUUUGAUUUUCUUCACCUGCUUCCUUUCUGUUGCUUUUGCUUCUUUCUUUCGCACAAGAGGUUGGUCGAGUUUUCACCUAUUUGAUUUGACAAUCGGUAUUGGUUCUUUGAGGUUUUCUUCUUCUUCUUCUUCUUCUAAGCUGUUAAACUCUAGCUCGAGAAGCAGAUUUUCACUGUCUCUGAAGGAUGAUGUGAAGAGGAACGGUUGCGCUUUCACGGUGAGGUCGAGCUUGGAUACUGUGGGUCCUACAGCUACUGUGGGACAGGUUACUGAGGUCACCAAGGAUACCUUCUGGCCCAUCGUCAAGUCCGCCGGCGAUAAGAUUGUCGUCCUUGACAUGUACACUCAAUGGUGUGGACCUUGUAAAGUGAUAGCUCCCAAAUUUAAAGAUUUGUCAGAGAAGUAUCUUGAUGUUGUCUUCCUAAAGCUUGAUUGCAACCAAGAUAACAAGGUUUUUAAUUUGCUUUAUCUGCCUUAUUUAAACAUGGAUGACAUUAUAGAAUAAGUCUUGCAUUAUUCUAAGGUAUUCCCUUUUACCUAAUUUCUUCCUCGUAUUAUUAUUUGAUUGCUAAUCUGAUCACUGUUGGCAGCCAUUGGCAAAGGAGCUUGGCAUAAGGGUGGUGCCUACUUUCAAGAUUCUCAAGGACAGCAAGAUUGUAAAGGAAGUGACGGGGGCCAAAUUUGAUGAUUUGGUGGUUGCCAUAGAGGCUGUUAGAUCCAGCUGAAUCUCCUUUCUCCUGUAAAAAAAGUAAAAUACUUGAUAAGUACCAAGGACCAAUGGGCGGCUCCAAAAUCUGAAAAAUAAUGAUGUCUGCUUUAAUGUAUCCAUUGAACCUUUUCCCUGGGAAUCCAUAUUGGGUGAGAACAGGUAAAAUGAGAUUAUGUUCUGCUUCAGGGAGAAUAGAAAUGAGGUAUGAAAAAAAAAAAUCAUUUUAAUUGUUUCCAUUUCCCUGAAGUAGUAGUAUCCAUGAAAAAAGAAUGAUGUAAAUGCCACUGAAGCUAUUGUGAAUCGAUUUUAAUUAACUGAAUAGAAUUUCUUUUGCAUUUUGCUAAAAAAAAAAA